CAAUAGAGAAAAAGAGCCAUAAAACUAAAAUCCACUAGAUGAAAACAUAAAGUAGUACAAGAAGAAUCCCACAACAAGUGAUAUAAGUAAAUACAUAGGUGGUCUCUAUACAUGGAUACAAAACCUCACUCUCUCUCAACCACAACAAAAAGAGAGAAAACCACCUAAGCAACAGUAAAUCCUCGCUAUCUAGCUAGCGAUCCCCUUGCCGCGAUCCCGUGCCUCUGCCGGUGCAGAGGGCUCUGAAAAGGAAACAUAGAAACAGGGGCGUGAGAACUAUUAAAUAAUAGUUCUCAGUGGGCAAUUACUGACUUCAGUGAAAGCACCACUAGGCCCAAAAGAGCUAAACAGGUAAGUAACAAUAAAAGCAAUAGAAUCGAUAUGUAAGUAA
rnacentral:lncRNA from 1 species